GUGCUUUGAAUGCAAGCUGCUUUCUGAGAAAAGGGGAGGAGUACUAAAAUCUUUUCCCCCCCUUUCCACAGAAAGCAGUGUCCAUUCAAAGCA